AGAACAGUUAUUCGUUUCCUACAGCUGCUAUAGCAGACGUGUCCCGCUCCUAUCACGCGAAAGACACAGUGAACAGGAAAAGAAACAGAAACAUGAUUGCGAUUCAGCUGGUAGUUUCUAUUUUAUCAGACAUACCAAAUGCCUUAGCUACUAAAGGAGUAACAUUUUCAAAAGAAUGCAAAGUAUGUAAAUAUCACGGCCACUAUCUGUCUCACGGACAAGUAGAAAACCUGGAUCACCCAUGCGAAAGAGUGACAUGUUUGGCUAACGAGAGUAAAGUUAUCGUGUUUGGGUG